rnacentral:rRNA from 1 species
AUUGAACGCUGGCGGCGUGCUUAACACAUGCAAGUCGAUCGGUAACAGGUGUAGCAAUACAUGCUGACGAGAGGCGGACGGGUGAGUAAUGCUUGGGAAUCUGCCUAUUAGUGGGGGACAACCCGGGGAAACUCGGGCUAAUACUGGAUAUGACUCCAUGACGCAUGUUGUGGGGUGGAAGCCUUGUGCGGCUGAGGAUGGGCCCGCGGCCUAUCAGCUUGUUGGUGGGGUGAUGGCCUACCAAGGCGACGACGGGUAGCCGGCCUGAGAGGGCGACCGGCCACACUGGGACUGAGACACGGCCCAGACUCCUACGGGAGGCAGCAGUGGGGAAUCUUGCGCAAUGGGCGAAAGCCUGACGCAGCGACGCCGCGUGAGGGAU